CGUGUUGACUGAGCUACUGACUGAGUGCUCGGCUGUCAGUGACUCGUUUACCUCUGAAUCAUUCAGACUCUCACGAGGUAGUGAAUGGUGAGGCAGAUGGCAGUUCAUAUUCAUAUCAAAAUUACUCAAUGAACCUGACUGUUUUGCGCACUGAUAAUUUCUAAAAGCAUUCUCACACAAAACUUGAAUUUUAUAACGGAAGAUCUUAAAAUUAACCGAGGUUUUCAUUGUCGUCCGCAACAGCCAGUUUUAAAAGUUAAUCCGAGUUAUAGCUUACCACUAUCAGACUGCUUGAUUGACUGUUUGAUUUGUGGUAUUUAUCCAAUUGCGAACCGACACUCGGCUUCCAGUAUUUAAGCCAGUAAUCAUCUUCAGACGUCUAUGAUAUCUAAGAAAGUGAAGAUCAGCUACAGGUAAGAUGCACCUCGUCUGUUCGUUGCUUGUUUAUGCGGCAGCACUUUCAUUUUGUUUGUGUCAACAAAUAACUGAAGCACAUUUCCAAGAAUGUGCCGAAAAAUUGAUAAAAGACAACAAAGAGCUUAAGUGCGCGAUAAGCAAACUGCGAGU